CAUUGAAUGGAGCUAGCUAGUUCAGCAUACUCAAACUCCAGGGAUGCGAUGUUAGCUAGCUGGCUAUGGCUAUCCAACACUGGAACGCUUGCAAGUCAAGUGUAACGAUUCUCAAAUGGUGCAGGAGAAGAGGACCAAAAUGCAGCGUGGAUGUUGGUGGGCCCAGCACAGGCAAUGUGGUCCAUUGGUCUUCUGGUGACAGAGUGACCACAGAAGAGAACAAGAAGAAGCACAGACAGAGAGAGUGACAGCAGAGAAGAUGCAGAGACAGACUUCACAACAGGGACGCAACACAGGCACGGUUAUAGGGGUUCGUUGUGUCUCCAGUGGUGUUUCAACAUGUUCUAUUUAUCUUAAACAUAAGCUGGUUAAAAAAGAAGGAGGACCAUGUUUAGCCAAUCACUGGUAUAGUAAAAGUUGAGAAACGCUGUACUAUGUUAUGCGAUGCUAUAUUAUGUGUCAGUAGCAUUUCCGGCUGUGUGUAAGUACCAAUACUCCCUAACAAACCUUACAGAACCAGUGACACCAGAAGAACUCAAGACCCAUAUAAAAGUGACUUAGGUAAAAGCCCCAGGAGAGGAUGAGGUUGACAACAGGCUCCUCAUAGAAGCUCCACAAUAUUACCUGAACCUGCUGGGUCAGCUCUUCUCUGCCUGCCUCCAAAACUGGCCACUUCCCCACACCCUGGAAGUCGGCACUGGUGACAAUGAUCAAGAAAUCUGGAAAAUACCCAUAAAAUGUCACAAGCUAUCGGUCCAUCAUCGGUCCAUCAGUUUUUUAAAUAAGUAACCUGGUGAAACUUUUAGAAAGCGUUUUUAACAAGAGACUGAGCAACCACAUAGAGGCCUGGGAGGUGCAUGGCAUUCAUCAGGACGAUUUUAGAAAAGGGAGAUCCGCAACAGACAUUUUAAGAAAGUGUUUUAAAAGAUUUUAACAAAAAAGUUUUUAUCCUUGUCGUGUUCUUUGACAUUGAGAAGGCCUUUGACAAAAUGUGCCACCAAGGUCUUCUCUACUUCUCUUCUCAUCCAGAGCUUUCUCACCCACCAGAUAAUAAAAGUUAAAGUUGGUCCAUCAUUCUCCACUCCCUUCACCCCCAAGGCCGGAGUCCCACAAGGUGCGGUCCUGAGUCCACUCCUGUUUUUAUUUUACAUAUCUGAUAUUUAUUACCCUCCCCUUACAGUAGGGAAUAUGUCCCAAUUUGUCGAUGACCUCUGCUAUUGGACAUCACCCAUGCACCCACAAAAAGCAGCGAAGAAGCUCCAAACAUGCAUAGACAACAUUUUAAAAUGGUCCAACACAUGGCGAGUCCAACUAAACCACAGUGUGUCCUCUUCUGCAAAACAAACAAUAAAACAUUUUUAGUUACCACUCAAGUUACCACUCACCAUGAAACUGCAUGGGCAAAAUCUCAAAACAGAGAAAACAUCCAAAUUCCUGGGGGUUACCUUUGAACAGGACAUGAAGUGGACAAUCCACAUUAUGAACAUGGAGGAAAACAAUCUAUCAACCACCUGAAAGCCCUGUGUGGAAGGAGUAGUGUGGCAGAGCCAACAACUGUAUUGAAGGUCUACCAAAGCUAUAUCAGGACAAGCUUUAAAAAAUACCUCUACUCUUGCUCAAUUUAAGAUUGUAUCGGUCUCAUCUACAUUUUUUAAGUCCCUCUUACAUCACGAUUCUGAGGUAAGUUGAUCUAAUAUUUAGUAAUUUAUCUAAAGUAAUAUAUAAUCUAAUUAACCCUUCUGAGGUAAGUUGAUCUAAUAUUUAGUAAUUUCUCUAAAGUAGUAUAUAAUCUAAUUAACCCUUAUGUUUUUAUUAUUCACCCAAUGUCCGCGGGUCUGAUGGACCCAGAACAUUAUUGGGUUUUUAAAACAAUACAGCCACAACAAUUUAUGUACAAAUACUCAGUACUUAAUACUUAAAUGUUGACAUAUCAAUUACAAGCAAUAUAGACAGCAUACAUGUUUAAUAUUUGACAUUUACCUCUCCUAGAUCACAUUUAUCAAUAAAAAAGCUAUUCCUUUUUUGGAUAAAAUUUGAUUUUUGUCAACAAAAAUCUAUUAUAAUCUAGACAUGGGUGAAAUAAAUCAUGUUUAUCUUGAACAAAUAUAAAUGAAGCAAGAUUUUCAUCACUAUUGAUGUUUAUUGCUUAGAACAGCACAAAUUGGAAGGACAAGUUUAACAUACAGUAUUUUAUUGAAAUGAUAAAUGAGCCACAUUGAACACAAAUUCAGGCCGGUCUACA